rnacentral:rRNA from 1 species
GGUUAAGCGACUAAGCGUACACGGUGGAUGCCCUGGCAGUCAGAGGCGAUGAAGGACGUGCUAAUCUGCGAUAAGCGUCGGUAAGGUGAUAUGAACCGUUAUAACCGGCGAUUUCCGAAUGGGGAAACCCAGUGUGUUUCGACACACUAUCAUUAACUGAAUCCAUAGGUUAAUGAGGCGAACCGGGGGAACUGAAACAUCUAAGUACCCCGAGGAAAAGAAAUCAACCGAGAUUCCCCCAGUAGCGGCGAGCGAACGGGGAGCAGCCCAGAGCCUGAAUCAGUAUGUGUGUUAGUGGAAGCGUCUGGAAAGGCGCGCGAUACAGGGUGACAGCCCCGUACACAAAAAUGCACAUAUUGUGAGCUCGAUGAGUAGGGCGGGACACGUGGUAUCCUGUCUGAAUAUGGGGGGACCAUCCUCCAAGGCUAAAUACUCCUGACUGACCGAUAGUGAACCAGUACCGUGAGGGAAAGGCGAAAAGAACCCCGGCGAGGGGAGUGAAAAAGAACCUGAAACCGUGUACGUACAAGCAGUGGGAGCACGCUUAGGCGUGUGACUGCGUACCUUUUGUAUAAUGGGUCAGCGACUUAUAUUCUGUAGCAAGGUUAACCGAAUAGGGGAGCCGAAGGGAAACCGAGUCUUAACUGGGCGUUAAGUUGCAGGGUAUAGACCCGAAACCCGGUGAUCUAGCCAUGGGCAGGUUGAAGGUUGGGUAACACUAACUGGAGGACCGAACCGACUAAUGUUGAAAAAUUAGCGGAUGACUUGUGGCUGGGGGUGAAAGGCCAAUCAAACCGGGAGAUAGCUGGUUCUCCCCGAAAGCUAUUUAGGUAGCGCCUCGUGAAUUCAUCUCCGGGGGUAGAGCACUGUUUCGGCAAGGGGGUCAUCCCGACUUACCAACCCGAUGCAAACUGCGAAUACCGGAGAAUGUUAUCACGGGAGACACACGGCGGGUGCUAACGUCCGUCGUGAAGAGGGAAACAACCCAGACCGCCAGCUAAGGUCCCAAAGUCAUGGUUAAGUGGGAAACGAUGUGGGAAGGCCCAGACAGCCAGGAUGUUGGCUUAGAAGCAGCCAUCAUUUAAAGAAAGCGUAAUAGCUCACUGGUCGAGUCGGCCUGCGCGGAAGAUGUAACGGGGCUAAACCAUGCACCGAAGCUGCGGCAGCGACGCUUAUGCGUUGUUGGGUAGGGGAGCGUUCUGUAAGCCUGCGAAGGUGUGCUGUGAGGCAUGCUGGAGGUAUCAGAAGUGCGAAUGCUGACAUAAGUAACGAUAAAGCGGGUGAAAAGCCCGCUCGCCGGAAGACCAAGGGUUCCUGUCCAACGUUAAUCGGGGCAGGGUGAGUCGACCCCUAAGGCGAGGCCGAAAGGCGUAGUCGAUGGGAAACAGGUUAAUAUUCCUGUACUUGGUGUUACUGCGAAGGGGGGACGGAGAAGGCUAUGUUGGCCGGGCGACGGUUGUCCCGGUUUAAGCGUGUAGGCUGGUUUUCCAGGCAAAUCCGGAAAAUCAAGGCUGAGGCGUGAUGACGAGGCACUACGGUGCUGAAGCAACAAAUGCCCUGCUUCCAGGAAAAGCCUCUAAGCAUCAGGUAACAUCAAAUCGUACCCCAAACCGACACAGGUGGUCAGGUAGAGAAUACCAAGGCGCUUGAGAGAACUCGGGUGAAGGAACUAGGCAAAAUGGUGCCGUAACUUCGGGAGAAGGCACGCUGAUAUGUAGGUGAGGUCCCUCGCGGAUGGAGCUGAAAUCAGUCGAAGAUACCAGCUGGCUGCAACUGUUUAUUAAAAACACAGCACUGUGCAAACACGAAAGUGGACGUAUACGGUGUGACGCCUGCCCGGUGCCGGAAGGUUAAUUGAUGGGGUCAGCGCAAGCGAAGCUCUUGAUCGAAGCCCCGGUAAACGGCGGCCGUAACUAUAACGGUCCUAAGGUAGCGAAAUUCCUUGUCGGGUAAGUUCCGACCUGCACGAAUGGCGUAAUGAUGGCCAGGCUGUCUCCACCCGAGACUCAGUGAAAUUGAACUCGCUGUGAAGAUGCAGUGUACCCGCGGCAAGACGGAAAGACCCCGUGAACCUUUACUAUAGCUUGACACUGAACAUUGAGCCUUGAUGUGUAGGAUAGGUGGGAGGCUUAGAAGUGUGGACGCCAGUCUGCAUGGAGCCGACCUUGAAAUACCACCCUUUAAUGUUUGAUGUUCUAACGUUGACCCGUAAUCCGGGUUGCGGACAGUGUCUGGUGGGUAGUUUGACUGGGGCGGUCUCCUCCUAAAGAGUAACGGAGGAGCACGAAGGUUGGCUAAUCCUGGUCGGACAUCAGGAGGUUAGUGCAAUGGCAUAAGCCAGCUUGACUGCGAGCGUGACGGCGCGAGCAGGUGCGAAAGCAGGUCAUAGUGAUCCGGUGGUUCUGAAUGGAAGGGCCAUCGCUCAACGGAUAAAAGGUACUCCGGGGAUAACAGGCUGAUACCGCCCAAGAGUUCAUAUCGACGGCGGUGUUUGGCACCUCGAUGUCGGCUCAUCACAUCCUGGGGCUGAAGUAGGUCCCAAGGGUAUGGCUGUUCGCCAUUUAAAGUGGUACGCGAGCUGGGUUUAGAACGUCGUGAGACAGUUCGGUCCCUAUCUGCCGUGGGCGCUGGAGAACUGAGGGGGGCUGCUCCUAGUACGAGAGGACCGGAGUGGACGCAUCACUGGUGUUCGGGUUGUCAUGCCAAUGGCACUGCCCGGUAGCUAAAUGCGGAAGAGAUAAGUGCUGAAAGCAUCUAAGCACGAAACUUGCCCCGAGAUGAGUUCUCCCUGACUCCUUGAGAGUCCUGAAGGAACGUUGAAGACGACGACGUUGAUAGGCCGGGUGUGUAAGCGCAGCGAUGCGUUGAGCUAACCGGUACUAAUGAACCGUGAGGCUUAACCUU